CAAUAUUCUUGGAGAAACCGGAUAGCGAGUUACAUAAGAACCCACUUAAAUAAGAACCCUUAACUUAAGAUAAAUUACAAAUUUCCCCAAAUAAACCCUCUUUCCCAAACCCACAAAAAAAAGGGUCCGAACCGGGUCGCGAAAAAAACCAACGGAAACGUCAUAUGAAUUAUGAAAACGGGCAGCACCGACCGCCAUAACGGAACCACGAUCUCUGACAAUUCUCACUCUUCGUCAGAUCUCGCUCGUUCUCUGAUAGCCUAAUUUUCCGAAGAAGAACGAGCACAACUGUUUAUCCAAACUCCGAUUCCAAAACCCUAGAAUCCAACGUUCCCGUCCGAUAUCAGGUUCCAAUCACCGGAUACAGUUUCUUGCAUUUUCCGAGCGUCCUCUUCAGCUGUCACAGUAAACGCGGUACUUCGUUCCUCAUCCUGAUCGAUCUGUUUCCACAUUUGGCUUCGAUUUCGCAGUGUGAUCGGUUGCGAGGUUUUAGUUGACUUUCAUGCUGUUUGAAGAAAUUCGCGAGUUAGUUGUUUGAGAAGUGAGAAAUGCAGCGUGCUCCAGUUACUGUUGAGGAACAGUUGUUGCAAAAAGCGAUUAACGAAGAGUGUCCAUGGGAGAAUCUACCGAAGCGGAUUCAAGCUACUCUUUCUACCAAAGACGAAUGGCACCGAAGGAUAAUCGAAUGCUGUGUAAAGAAGAGGCUUCAAUGGAAUAGCUGUUUUGCCCGGAAAGUUUGUAAAGAAAGUGAAUAUUAUGAAGAUAUGAUGCGUUACUUACGGAGGAAUCUUGGUCUGUUUCCUUAUCAUUUGGCGGAGUAUGUUUGCCGUGUAAUGAGGGUGUCUCCUUUCAGAUAUUAUUGUGAUAUGAUUUUUGAAGUCAUGAGAAACGAGCAACCUUAUGACAGCAUCCCAAAUUUUAGUGCAGCAGAUGCUUUAAGACUUGCAGGAAUUGGGAGAAAUGAAUUUAUUGAUAUAAUGAACAAGUGCAGAUCUAAGAAAAUCAUGUGGAAACUGAACAAAUCAAUUGCAAAAGAACUCUUGCCUACACAACCUGUAGAUUUUCCUAUUGAAUCUUGGUGGGGAGUUUGUCUGGUGAACUUUACUUUGGAAGAAUUUAAGAAACUCUCUGAAGAGGAAGUUGCCACUAUAGACAAAAUAUGUAAGGAGGAAGCAAAUUUGUAUAUCCUGUUUGAUCCUGAAGUUAUAAAGGGUCUCUAUAGACGUGGAUUGAUCUAUUUUGAUGUUCCAGUGUAUCCCGAGGAUCGGUUCAAAGUUUCAAGGCUUGAAGGUUUUGUAUCCAACAGGGAGCAGUCUUAUGAAGAUCCUAUUGAAGAGUUAUUGUAUGCAGUUUUUGUUGUUUCAAAUGAAAAUGCAUCUGUUGCGGAGUUGGCAACAACCCUACAGGCUGACCUGUCACAACUGCAGGCUGCUGCAUCAUUUGUAUGUCGAUUGGGAUGGGCAACAAAAGUCAUUGAUCCAUCCUCUAUUCUUCAAGAUGCAAGUAUACCUGGGUCUCCAAGAAGUGCAGUUAGUGAUGAAGAUGUUUCUCUUGCUAGUCAUGGUUUUGACAAUAUCCAUAUUGAUAAUGAUAUUCAAGGGGAUGCUUCGGGUUCAAGCAACCAUGGUCCUCGUUCGGCCUAUAUGCGUGUUGCCUUCAUAGUUGAUGCCAAUAUAACAUCCUAUCUUAUGAUGGGUUCUGUUUCACCAGGUCUGAAAUCUCAUGCUGUUACGCUCUAUGAAGCGGGUAAAUUAGGUCAUGCCAGCAUUUCUGAUCUUUGCAAGGAUCUUAGCACUCUGGAAGGUGCAAAAUUUGAGGGAGAACUGCAGGAAUUUGCCAAUCACGCAUUCAGCCUGCGUUGUGUAUUAGAGUGUCUACAAUCAGGCGGAGUUGCUUCUGAUGUGAAAGUCGAGGAAGGACAUGAUAAGAUGAAUAUGGCUACUCCAAGCAAUGGUGAACCAAGCUCUCUUACAGCUGAAAUAUCUUUGUCUGAAAAACUAAGAGACUCUGGGGUUACAGAAGCUGAAAUAAAUAAUGAUGAUUUAUUGAGUUUAGAUUUGGAGAAGUCUGCCGAGGCUUCUGUUUCCUAUGAUGUCGUUCCUAGUGAUGGAACCAGUUCUAUUGCAUUGGAUGGCAAUGACAUACUGGAUUCCAGUAACGAUGAAAAUCUCCAAAACAACGAGAAACUAAUGGUUGAAGGGUCAUAUGUUGGAACAGACAUGCUAAAGAGGAAAAAAAAAUAUCGUGUAGAUAUUCUCCGCUGUGAAAGCUUGGCUUCUCUUUCACCAGCAACCCUUGAUCGUUUGUUUCUUCGUGACUAUGAUAUAGUUGUGUCCAUAUUGCCUCUUCCUCAUUCAUCAGUUCUUCCUGGACCUGGAGGUCCUGUUCAUUUUGGUCCUCCCUCGUAUUCUUCUAUGAGUCCUUGGAUGAAAUUGGUAUUAUAUUCAACUGUACAAAGUGGGCCUCUGUCAGUUGUUCUGAUGAAAGGACAGUGUCUGCGCUUCCUUCCUGCUCCAUUGGCUGGCUGUGAGAAAGCUCUCAUAUGGUCUUGGGAUGGUUCCACGGUAGGAGGGUUAGGAGGGAAGCUUGAAGGAAAUUUAGUGAAGGGAAGUAUACUUUUGCAUUGUUUAAAUUCACUUCUUAAGCAUUCGGCUGUGCUGGUGCUGCCUCUCAGUAAGUUUGAUCUUGAUAAAUCUGGAAAAUUGGUUACUAUGGAUAUCCCUUUGCCCUUAAAGAACGCCGAUGGCUCAAUUGCUCCUGUUGAAAAAGAGUUAGGAAUAUCCGAAGAGGAAAGUUCAAAGCUGAAGUCUCUAUUGAGCGAUUUGGCAGACACGAUGGAACUGUGGACAGUUGGAUACAUCCGCUUACUUAGAUUAUUUAAUGAUAGAGAGCCUGAGCAGUUUUCACCUGAAGAAAAGUAUGAUUGGGUUCCGUUGAGUGUUGAGUUUGGGAUGCCAUUAUUUAGCCCAACGAUGUGUAAUGAUAUAUGUAGAAGGGUGGUGUCAUCUGAAUUGCUUCAAUCUGGAUCAUUUGGUGAGCACCAUCAUGCAGUGCAAAGCUUAAGGAGAAAAUUACAUGACAUUUCUUCAGAGUACCAAGCAACAGGGCCUGCUGCUAAGGUACUUUACCAGAAGGAACAAUUUAAGGAAUCCUCACGACAGCUUAUGAACUAUGCUAGUGGAAGAUGGAAUCCACUUGUGGACCCUUCGUCUCCCAUUUCAGGGGCUUCAAGUGAGCAUCAAAGGUUAAAACUUGCAAAUCGACAACGAUGCAGAUCUGAAGUUUUAAGCUUUGAUGGCAGUAUUCUUAGAUCUUAUGCCUUAGCUCCUGUUUACGAAGCUGCCACAAGGCCCAUUGAAGAAGGCACUCAAGCCAACACGAUAAAAGCUGAAGCAGAUGAUAAUGAUAGCAAAGAAGUAAUUCUUCCUGGAGUAAAUCUUCUUUUUGAUGGUUCUGAGUUGCACCCGUUUGACAUAGCUGCCUGCCUCCAGGCACGUCAACCUAUUUCCUUAAUAGCAGAAGCAGCAGCUGCCUCGGCAUCUUUAGCAAUCAAAUAGUUCUGCAGUUGCUAUAGACUACAGCAUUGUGAUAUCUAUACAUGCAUGGCAAUGGUAGGGAUUGCUAGGGCUAGUUUGUUUUCAUCUUCAAGCUUGUUGGUCAAGCUUGGCCCACAAAGUUGGGCUCAGAUUGAAGAUUUAUCACUGUUGUCCUUGAGGCUUAUUGGCCCUGGUUUUCUAUUUGAAUCAGGGGUGAAUGAGUUGAUGCCCCUAUGGAUAUAUGCCAAACCAGCUGCCUGAAAUAUUUUUCUUUUAUCUACUUUGUUCCGAAGUUUUUAUCCAUUCUUGUGCAAUCUCCUGGUAUAAAAUACAGUACAAUCUUGUUUAUAAAUUAGGUUUAAUUUGUUUUGGAUUUCACUUGACCAGGAGAUUCAAAACAGUUAAUUGUGAACUUGUGAAAAAGUGGAAAUAUGUAAUCUUCGUUCAACAAUUCUUGAAUAGUAUGAUUGGUGAGGCUUGAGAUAUCUUUUAGAUCACGUGUCAUCGUCAGAAGCUUUUACUUGACAGUUGAAAUCAACUUCUCCUAUCACAAAGAACUCUCAAUCAUCCCAAAAUUCGUUUGACUUAUGGAGAAUUUAUGGAGUUGUUAUCUUCAAAGUUGUUUCAUCAGAGAUAAGUCCACAAGAGGAUCCUCUGGAUGCACCAUCAAUGUUGUAUUUAAUUCAAUAUUUUGGAGGAUCAAUCUAGUUAACCUGAGUGAAUUUGAGAGCAGUUGGAGCAUGAUAACUAGCACUAAAAAAUUGAUAGUUUUAAAUUUUUGAAUACAAUAAUACACACUCCCUCCCUCCUAUAUUAUAAACAUUACCUUUUUAGAUUUA